GACGAACGCUGGCGGCGUGCCUAAUACAUGCCAGUUGAGCGCUGAAGGUUGGUACUUGUACCAACUGGAUGAGCAGCGAACGGGUGAGUAACGCGUGGGGAAUCUGCCUUUGAGCAGGGGACAACAUUUGGAAACGAAUGCUAAUACCGCAUAAAAACUUUAAACACAAGUUUUAAGUUUGAAAGAUGCAAUUGCAUCACUCAAAGAUGAUCCCGCGUUGUAUUAGCUAGUUGGUGAGGUAAAGGCUCACCAAGGCGAUGAUACAUAGCCGACCUGAGAGGGUGAUCGGCCACAUUGGGACUGAGACACGGCCCAAACUCCUACGGGAGGCAGCAGUAGGGAAUCUUCGGCAAUGGACGAAAGUCUGACCGAGCAACGCCGCGUGAGUGAAGAAGGUUUUCGGAUCGUAAAACUCUGUUGGUAGAGAAGAACGUUGGUGAGAGUGGAAAGCUCACCAAGUGACGGUAACUACACAGAAAGGGACGGCUAACUACGUG
rnacentral:rRNA from 1 species